rnacentral:misc_RNA from 1 species
CCGAGUGAGGGCCCUCUGGGUCCAACCUCCCACCCGUGUCUAUCGUACCUUGUUGCUUCGGCGGGCCCGCCUCACGGCCGCCAGGGGGCAUCCGCCCCCCGGCCCGCGCCCGCCGAAGACGCCUAUGAACUCUGUCUGAAGAUUGCAGUCUGAGUGAAAUGAUAAAUUAUCUA